GCCUUGACAGCACAGAUGUCUAGGCCGCCGAACAUUUCUGAGCAGCUGUCCACCCACAGCCUGUACCUGCAAAGACAGGACUGACGGGUCACACGGAAUACUCCAGCUCCCACAUCUAUCUGUGUGUCUGAGCCGUCCGACCUGGAAUGAGGAGAGAGCGUGGCUGCAGAUUUCUAAGAACCCAUUCUUUGAUCUUCUCCACCAGGCCUCACUGAGGCCUAGAGAGAGGGUCUCUCUAAAAAGGGAAGCGAAAUGAUCUUGUUCAUCUAGAGCUCCCAGAACUGGAACCCAGUCUAGUUCCCUCAUCUAACCAGAGCCUGGAGCAUGCUAGCAAGAGCAGGAUGAAGGUCCCACAUCCACUGGACUCCGACUCCAAAUAUGUGCCGUUCUGUGCCUGGCAGGCUUAACUUCUCUUCCCUUCUAAGCUCACCACACAUUGCUCAGGGAGGGAGAGCUGAACUCAUUUUUCAGAUGGAGAGGCUGAGGCUUGGAGACAGUCAUAAAUAGCAGAUUGGCUUCCAGUCCCAGAUCCUGUCUGUGACCAGGUUGUAAGCAAACACUCUCUCUCUCUCUCUCUCUCUCUCUCUCUCUCUCUCUCUCUCUCUCUCUCUCUCUCUCUCUCUCAACUUGUGUUUGUUUUUACUUGGCACAGAGGAGCCAGUAAGCAUGUAUGCUCACUCAUGAACAUACCUGUAAACAUGUUGGGAAAGACCACAUGUGUGCAUGCAUGAGUAUCAGGACCCAAGCCAACCUUGGGUGUCAUUCCUCUGGAGCCUUCCAUCUUGUUUUUUUUUUUUGAGACAAGGUCUCUCACUCAAUGUGAGACUUGCCACAUAAUGUAGUAGCCUGGCUAGCCAACAAGCCCCAGAAUCCUCCUGUCUCUGUCUCCCCUGUGCUGGGGUCACGGCUGCCAGCUGCCAUACCUGUUUGGCUUUUUUAUGUGGGAUCUGGGACUCAGACUCAUGCCCUUAUGUUUAUAUGGCAAGCACCUUAUGGCCUGACCUGUGACUUGGAUGCUUACUAUUGUUUCCUUCAUGAUUUUGGGGGAGCCUCUCCCUCCAGAUGCCUCAGUUUCUUUUAUUUGAUUCUUGUGCUUGGGAUGUACAAGGAUAAUGAUGCCCAUGUACAAAUAAAUGGCCAGCGUCAGGACUCUGUCCCGUGUUACUGGGUGGCUGCUACCUAUUCUUAGUUCUUCCUACAACUCAUGGAACACAAAGUGCUCCAGAAGCACAAUGCCUGAGGCACACUCGUGAGUCAAAGUCCUUCCUGGAGAGAUAGAAGCAGUCUAGACUUAGGACUGGAGGCAACUAGAUUCCAGAGGCUGUUUUCAAAUGAUGAACAUCCAGGUUGUCUGUGUGUAUCACCCCAUGGGCAGAAAUCCUAGGGGCCAGGAAAGACAGGAAAGGUUUCCUUCAACCAGGCAGACUAGCACUGAUCAAACAGUAUGAAAAUUGCUCAGGAGUCAGGCUCUCCAACAAGCAGGGAGCCAGGGAGGGGCUGGUCCUGAUCAAGGGUCUCCAGGGACUUUGGGACUGUAGGAACUGGACUAGGUAGGUCUGUCCAGGCCAUGAACACAGCUCUAGACUACACGAGGGACAGUGUAUGCUAGGCUGAGCAGACCCUGUCCUGUGAAGGUUCCUUUUGGAACCAUCCAUGUGGCUUGAGACUGAGCUGAAACACAGGAUGGUGGCAACCUGGACAUCUCCAUGGUGAUCUUCUGAAGCAAUGGAGAAGAUAUCUGCAAACAAUUGGGGACUGGUGAAGGCUCCGAUUUCUCUCACUGAGGCAGCAAGGCAGGAGCCAUAAGACUUGAAACCAAGACCUCAGUGUUCCACACUUACUUCUGGAACAUGGGGCAAACCACUUUAGUUCUCUGAACUGUCACCAUCUGUAAAUGUAGUUUUGACAGGUACCCUGCCGUUGAUACUGACCAGAUAGGAAAGCAAGCUGGGAAGCGCUCAGUGGGUGGGGACACCGGGCAGAGACUGAAGUGCCAUUCUCACCAGGUGCUGGUGCAUCUUUCCGCGUGCCCUUUGUCUCUUACCUU